CCUACGGGAGGCAGCAGUGAGGAAUAUUGGUCAAUGGGCGCGAGCCUGAACCAGCCAAGCCGCGUGAGGGAGGACGGCCCUACGGGUUGUAAACCUCUUUUGCCGGGGAGCAACGGGCGUCACGUGUGGCGCCACUGAGAGUACCCGGAGAAAAAGCAUCGGCUAACUCCGUGCCAGCCGCCGCGGUAAUACGGAGGAUGCGAGCGUUAUCCGGAUUUAUUGGGUUUAAAGGGUGCGUAGGCGGAUCGUUAAGUCAGUGGUCAAAUUGAGGGGCUCAAGCCCUUCCCGCCAUUGAAACUGGCGCUCUUGAGUGGAAGAGAAGUGUGCGGAAUGCGUGGUGUAGCGGUGAAAUGCAUAGAUAUCACGCAGAACCCCGAUUGCGAAGGCAGCAUGCCGGCUUCCGACUGACGCUGAAGCACGAAAGCGUGGGGAUCGAACAGGAUUAGAUACCCCAGUAGUC
rnacentral:rRNA from 1 species